CUGAUUUUUAUUUCAUUAGAAUACUUCACAAAACAUUGCGAGUGUUUCUAUAAACGAAAAUUUCACUAUUAGUCAAGUCGAAUAGCCUCAAGCAAAAACAAAUAAUUACACAGACACAAGCUGAGAGAGUCAAGUUAAGUGCGGCACCACCGAUACAAUCAUGUCUGAAGGAAGUGAAUGCUCGGAUGAACAACUGCAGAAAGUUCCGGUUUCCUUGAUGAGCUCCAGUAAGGCCUCAGCGGAGAACAUGUCGGCCGAAUCUAAGCAGCGCAUUCAGGUGCCCGAGGCAUUGAGGGAAGUGCUCUUGGAGUUCUCAAUAGCAUAUCUGCUGGAGCAACCGGGCGAUGUGAUCGAAUAUGCAGUACAGUAUUUUAAUAAAUUGCAGUCAAAUCGCCAGGCAGCUGCAAAUUUCUAUCGGCCAGACUCCCCAGAGAGCAGCAUCAUAUCACAGGAAGAAGAACCAGUCCGUCGUUUUACCACACGCCGCAAAUCUGUAUUUGCCGAGGCUUAUGAUCCAGAAAACGACGCCGACGAUGACGAGGCCGAACGCAAGGUCUAUCCCAAGUCAGACGAGCAGCGCGCUCGCCUAACCGAUUCGGUGAAGAAUGUACUGUUAUUCCGUUCGCUGGAUGAUGAACAGAUGAAUCAAGUGUUGGACGCCAUGUUCGAGAAACGAGUGCAGCCAGAUGAGUUCAUCAUUCGCCAGGGUGAUGAUGGCGAUAAUUUCUAUGUUAUUGAGUCUGGAGUUUACAAGGUAAUUUGUAAUGGCGAUCAUAUUUUCACUUACGACAAUACCGGAAUAUUCGGUGAAUUGGCAUUGCUCUACAAUGUACCAAGAGCCGCCUCCAUUCAGGCUGUCACAGAGGGUCUACUCUGGGCUAUGGACCGUCAAACGUUCCGCCGCAUUCUGUUGAAGUCCGCUUUCAAAAAGCGAAAAAUGUACGAAACGCUAUUGGACAGUGUGCCAAUGCUGAAAGCGUUGAAGUCCUAUGAGCGCAUGAAUUUGGCCGACGCAUUGGUUUCCAAACAUUUCUGUAGUACUGAGAGAAUCAUCAAACAAGGUGAUGUGGCUGACGGCAUGUACUUCAUAGAGGAUGGCAACGUUGUGGUGAAAAUGGACCAAGAUGGCAAGGAGAUUGAGAUUUCGCGAUUAGGUAAAGGUCAAUACUUCGGAGAGUUGGCUUUGGUUACACACCGACCACGCGCUGCUUCCGUCUACGCAGAUGGGGAUGUCAAAGUUGCAUAUUUGGACAAGAGUGCCUUCGAGCGAAUACUCGGCUUCCUUACGGAUGUGCUCAAGCGCAAUGCAGAAAUCUAUGAAGAGCAGUUAUCUAAUCUUGCUCGAGAAAAUAUAUUUUAAAAAUCGUUCAUUGUUCAUAUGUAUGUAUUUACGUCCGUUUUCUGCAUCAUGUAUAUUCGUUUUUGUUGAAUUUUCUUCACUCAGUGUUAGUUACACAAGCCUCCAAAUGGGAGUACUUCUUACUAACACUGAGUAAAUGUUAAUGUUUCUUUUUUUAAAAACUUUUUUUAUACCAACAAAUAAAUACAAAAAAAUAAUUCCACAAUUAUUUUAAAUUAUAGACCAGUAGGCAUUUCAUGACUGCAAACGAAAUUCCACCAAGUGAAGUAAAAUAUUUCUUAAAAGAUAUAUAGAGGAAUCUAGAGAGAUCUAGAGCGAAAUCCUGCAAAACUUUAGAUCAUUUAGAGAUACUGAAAAGUCUAUUAAUCCUUGAAUAUGCUCAUCCCUCGGAUAAACUUAAAAGAAAUUCAAGUGAAAAUGGUUUUAGCUAUUUGGUUUUUGAUGGAAAUUUUAAUGCCGAAGAAAUUCAAAUGAAUCGCUGGUGGAAAGUGCAUUAGUAUUCUAAAUAGUUUGGGAUAUUUCCCUGUCUUUCAGUAUGCAUUUCUUAUAGAUAGUUACUUGAAUUUCUAAUCUAAUGUUACUACAAUAAAUUCAUCAAUAUUUAUACGGACAACUAACCAGUUCCUUCAGGAAAACCGGUCGGACGACAGAUGAAUACAAUUAUUUGAUUUUAUUUAUGAUUAUGAUAUUCAUAAACGUAAUUAGAAAAAUACAAGCCUCAAAUAUAUAUGUAUGUAGACAAAGCCAAUAUAAGAAUAUCAAGUAGUAUUUCCUCACAAAUGUUAGCUUAUGGAGGUGCUAGGGAAACACACUCGUAUGUGCACUCAAACAAAAUUAGAUUGGUAGCAACUUGAUAGUAAACCCCUAAGAUUUAGGUAGCCUUACAUGCCACGCCACGCCACUUCCAUGCCACGUCAUUAUCAUCACCGCUUUGGAGACAAGCUCAACUAAAAGCUCCUUUGUUUUGGAGGUGCGAGCAUUCGAACGCUUGCUGGGCCCUUGCAUGGAGAUCAUGAAGCGCAACAUAGACGACUACGAGACGCAGCUUAUCAAAAUCUUUGGCACCAAAAACAACAUUAGCGAUACACGAUAAAAAGUCUGAGUUCCAAGCAAACACACAAACAACAACAACUAAAUACACACAAACGCACACACACACACACACACACCAACAA